GUAUUAUGUUUAUAGUUUUGACAUUCUGGACUUCUGUAGUAAAAUGUGUAAAGCGGAAGCGACGCGAACGCCGCAACCGAAAAGGUGCACAGGUGUGAGAGGUUUCGACAGCGUGCAGCCGAAGCGCACAGCUGAAGAGGUUAGGCCGAAGCCCGAAUCUAUAAUGAUCCUUCCGCAGGUUCACCUACGGAAA
rnacentral:misc_RNA from 1 species